AUGCAUGACUAAAUGCUACCUGCUUUCAAACAUAAUAUUUUGUGUUGGGUGUCUUUGAAUCUCAAAACAAAAAGCGUGUAGAAAUCAUCAAAUUGAUUCUAAAAGCAUUAUCAUCCUCCAAAUGUCUUCGAAUUGAAAGCAAGCAAAUUGCAUAUAUCAAUAUGACACGAUAGUAAGUUUCCUUUAAACAGUAUGGAAAAAAGGUAAACUAUUAAAAACAUAUGUUUUAUUUCAUCUAGAGGAGCAUGAAGAGAGUGCAGACUUUUAUAACAUAGGAAAUGUUGGGGAUGGAGACACAUCAUUGUAAUGUGAAAAGUAAGAUUGAGAUGUAGCCAAGCGAAGUUUAAAAACCUAUUGCGGCGUGAUUUGCGAUGAUUAUCAUUUUUAUAGUGAAAUAUGUGUCAUAAGUUGAUGACGGUACGAUUCAUUCUAUAUACUCAUGUAUCAUAUAUAUAACAACUGGAUAUAACAGUCAGAUGUGUGGAAUUAAAAAGACCAGCUUGAAAUCUUGGAAGUCAACACCAGAAUGAAUUCUAACAUCAUUUGUCUUGACAUUGUGCUUUGAAUUGAUUGUUUAUUAGAAUUUAUUAUGUCAUUUGAUUUUUGUGUUGUUCGAUUGUAGUUUCAUUUGGUCAAAUCAACCAUGAAUACAUGCAUGGCAUACUUACACUUUCGUUUACUUAUAAGAUAUACAUUGUUUUUGGAUAUUAUUAGUUUGCACAUAUAUUUUGUAUCAUUAACCUCAUAUUGCACUGUGUGAUUUUGAAAUAGAAUCAAUCCCUGUAGCAGUAAUGUACAGAAAAUGCUCAGGAUGAUACAUAUGCUGAAAUAUCUAAUUUCGAAAAGGUAUGGUAUCGCUUUAUUGACAUAAGAUUAGUUGUCCAACAGGCAGAUAUUUAUUUUAUUUCCAUUAUAUCACAAUUUUGUAUUUUAUACUGAUAGAUGUUUUGAAUUAAGCAUUAAACUAACAGGAAUUAUC